rnacentral:rRNA from 1 species
UACAGAGGGGGCAAGCGUUAUUCGGAAUUAUUGGGCGUAAAGGGCGCGUAGGCGGCUUGGCAAGUGGAUGGUGAAAUCCCUCGGCUUAACCGAGGAACUGCCGUCCAAACUGCUUCGCUUGAGACCGGGAGAGGUGAGUGGAAUUCCCAGUGUAGCGGUGAAAUGCGUAGAUAUUGGGAGGAACACCAGUGGCGAAGGCGGCUCACUGGACCGGUACUGACGCUGAGGCGCGAAAGCGUGGGGAGCAAACAGG